rnacentral:pre_miRNA from 1 species
GAGACACCCUUCUGGGGCAAGACUUGCUGCAGUAGGGCUUUGGUGCUCACUGAGUCUGCCCCCUGAGUGUGUCCCU